GACGAACGCUGGCGGCGUGCUUAACACAUGCAAGUCGAACGGAAAGGCCUCUUUCGGGGGGUACUCGAGUGGCGAACGGGUGAGUAACACGUGAGUAACCUGCCCUUGACUUUGGGAUAACUUCAGGAAACUGGGGCGAAUACCGGAUAGGAGCUCCUGCUGCAUGGUGGGGGUUGGAAAGUUUCGGCGGUUGGGGAUGGACUCGCGGCUUAUCAGCUUGUUGGUGGGGUAGUGGCUUACCAAGGCUUUGACGGGUAGCCGGCCUGUGAGGGUGACCGGCCACAUUGGGACUGAGAUACGGCCCAGACUCCUACGGGAGGCAGCAGUGGGGAAUAUUGCACAAUGGGUGGAAGCCUGAUGCAGCAACGCCGGGUGCGGGAUGACGGCCUUCGGGUUGGAAACCGCUUUCGCUCAUGACGAAGCUUUGUGUGACGGUAGUGGGUAAAGAAGCACCGGCUAACUACGUG
rnacentral:rRNA from 1 species